rnacentral:rRNA from 1 species
UACAGAGGAGCCAAGCGUUGUCCGGAUUGACUGGGCGUAAAGCGCACGCAGGCGGUUGCGCGCGUGGGGUGUGAAAUCUGGCCGCUUAACGGCCAGGCGCCAUCCCAUACGGCGAGGCUGGAGCGAUGCAGAGGUCGGUGGAAUUGCCGGUGUAGUGGUGAAAUGCGUAGAUAUCGGGAGGAACACCAGUGGCGAAGGCGACUACCUGGCCUGUUCUUGACGCUGAGGCGCGAAAGCUAGGGGAGCAAACGGG